AUGAUAAAAUUUUCAGAUUAAGAUGAAGGCUUGAAUAAGGACAGAGGCAAAGACAAAGUGCAAAGUUUCUUUAUGUUGUAGUUAAAUUUAUUAAUUUUUCUGAUGAAAAUAGUAUUGUAAAUCUUCUAAGAUAUUGAGGUAUGUAUUAAGUUAAGGUUGUAGACCUUGGGGAAUGAUGUGUAAAAGUUUAAUGUGUAAACAAUUUAUGUUUAUAUCUUCCGCAAUAGUGAUAGAAAUAGUAUACCGGAUCCGUGGCGAUUUGGGACCCGGAUUCGGGGAUGCUACAG
rnacentral:lncRNA from 1 species